rnacentral:rRNA from 1 species
UGGACCUACGGGAGGCAGCAGUGGGGGAUAUUGGACAAUGGGGGGAACCCUGAUCCAGCGACGCCGCGUGAGUGAAGAAGUAUUUCGGUAUGUAAAGCUCUGUCAGCAGGGAAGAAAGAAAUGACGGUACCUGACCAAGAAGCCCCGGCUAACUACGUGCCAGCAGCCGCGGUAAUACGUAGGGGGCAAGCGUUAUCCGGAAUUACUGGGUGUAAAGGGAGCGUAGACGGCUGUGCAAGUCUGAAGUGAAAGCCCGUGGCUCAACCGCGGAACUGCUUUGGAAACUGUAUAGCUU